GACGAACGCUGGCGGCGUGCUUAACACAUGCAAGUCGAACGGAAAGGCCCUGCUUUUGUGGGGUGCUCGAGUGGCGAACGGGUGAGUAACACGUGAGUAACCUGCCCUUGACUUUGGGAUAACUUCAGGAAACUGGGGCUAAUACCGGAUAGGAGCUCCUGCUGCAUGGUGGGGGUUGGAAAGUUUCGGCGGUUGGGGAUGGACUCGCGGCUUAUCAGCUUGUUGGUGGGGUAGUGGCUUACCAAGGCUUUGACGGGUAGCCGGCCUGAGAGGGUGACCGGCCACAUGGGGACUGGGAUACGGCCCAGCCUCCUACGGGGGGCAGCAGUGGGGAAUAUUGCACAAUGGGCGGAGGCCUGAUGCAGCAACGCCGCGUGCGGGAUGACGGCCUUCGGGUUGUAAACCGCUUUCGCCUGUGACGAAGCGUGGGUGACGGUAAUGGGUAAAGAAGCACCGGCUACUACGU
rnacentral:rRNA from 1 species